rnacentral:rRNA from 1 species
UACGUAGGUGGCAAGCGUUAUCCGGAAUUAUUGGGCGUAAAGCGCGCGCAGGCGGUUUCUUAAGUCUGAUGUGAAAGCCCACGGCUCAACCGUGGAGGGUCAUUGGAAACUGGGGAACUUGAGUGCAGAAGAGAAAAGCGGAAUUCCACGUGUAGCGGUGAAAUGCGUAGAGAUGUGGAGGAACACCAGUGGCGAAGGCGGCUUUUUGGUCUGUAACUGACGCUGAAGCGCGAAAGCGUGGGGAGCAAAUAGG